AUGGCCGUCCCCUCCGCCGACCGCAAGCGGCGCCCCUUCCUCCUCUCGCUCUCCCUCUUCCUCCUCCUCUCCGCCCUGCUCGUCCUCCUCGUCCUCUUCCUCGACUCCUCCGCCCAGUCCCUCCCCUUCCUCCCCUCCCGCCCCUCCCGCCUCUCCGCCCCCUCCCCCUAUCUUCCUCACCAGCAGCACAGCCCAACCCCAGUUCCCACCCCCGGAGGCUCGCCCGACUCGCAACCAAACGGCCCGGCCGCUGCCGCUGCAAAAUCAGAUGUCAAAGCCGACGCAUCGCGGCCGAAUGCCCCCGCCGCCGUCGCAGGGGGCAGCGGAACCAGCACCCCGUCACGGACAGCCGACGACAGCAGCCACCCGGCGGCAGUCGACGCGGAUGCCACAGCCAUCGAUGCGGCGGGAGUGAAUGGCGGCGAGGCCGAGGACGACGGCGCGGUGGCGGAGGUGAGGUGGGAGACGUGCAAGGUCAGGAGGGGGGUGUCGGCGACGGACUACAUCCCGUGCCUCGACAACAUCAGGGCUAUCAAGGCGCUGCGCUCCAGGCGGCACAUGGAGCACCGGGAGCGCCACUGCCCCGCGCCGCCGCCCAGGUGCCUGGUGCGAAUGCCUGCGGGUUACCGGCUGCCCGUGCCGUGGCCGCGCAGCCGUGACAUGAUUUGGUACAACAAUGUUCCUCACCCAAAACUGGUGGAAUAUAAAAAGGAUCAGAACUGGGUUACAAAGUCUGGUGAUUAUCUUGUUUUCCCCGGAGGCGGAACUCAAUUCAAAGAUGGUGUUGCAAGAUACAUACAGUUUGUAGAACAGAUAAUGCCUACCAUUCAAUGGGGAACACAUACGAGAACUGUUCUGGAUGUUGGAUGUGGUGUUGCCAGCUUUGGUGGAUACCUGCUUGACAGGAAUGUCAUUACUAUGUCAUUGGCCCCUAAAGAUGAGCAUGAAGCUCAGAUACAGUUUGCAUUAGAGCGUGGAAUUCCAGCAUUUCUAGGAGUAAUCGGAACUCAAAAGCUCCCUUUCCCUGAUAAUGCAUUUGAUGUGGUCCAUUGUGCAAGGUGCAGGGUCCAUUGGUAUGCGAAUGGUGGAAAACCACUACUGGAGCUUAACAGAGUGCUAAGGCCUGGAGGAUUUUUCGUUUGGUCUGCUACACCUGUCUAUCGUAAAGAACAAAGAGAUCAAGAUGACUGGAAUGCAAUGGUUACACUGACCAAAUCAAUGUGCUGGAGGACAGUUGUAAAAUCUGAAGAUAUUAAUGGAAUUGGUGUUGUUAUAUAUCAAAAACCAACCUCAAAUUCUUGCUACCUUGAGAGGAAAACCAAUGAACCCCACCUGUGUUCAAAGAAAGAUGGAUCACGUUUUCCUUGGUAUGCUCCUCUUGAUAGUUGCAUUUUGCCAUCUGCUGUUUCCAGUUCAGAUGAAACAAGCAACUCUCCCCUUCUGUGGCCUGAAAGACUUAUCAGAUACGCAAGUGUGCCUGAUGAUUCUGCUACUAUCGAGAAGUUUGAUGCUGAUACAAAGUAUUGGAAACAAGUCAUUUCAGAAGUAUAUUAUAAUGACUUUCCAGUUAAUUGGUCAAGUGUCCGUAAUGUAAUGGACAUGAAUGCUGGUUAUGGAGGGUUUGCAGCAGCACUUGUUGAUAAACCAUUAUGGGUUAUGAAUGUUGUACCUAUUGGCCAGUCAGAUACUUUGCCAGUAAUUUUUAGCCGAGGUUUGAUUGGGGUAUAUCAUGAUUGGUGUGAGUCUUUCAACACAUACCCAAGGACCUAUGAUGUUCUUCACAUGAGUGAUCUCCUUGGAAGUCUUACAAAGAGGUGUGACAUCCUUGAAGUAGCAGCCGAAAUCGACCGUAUAUUGAGGCCUGGCAGAUGGUUGGUGCUGAAAGACACCAUGGACAUGAUAAAAAAGAUGCGCCCGGUUCUUCGCUCUCUGCACUAUGAGACCGUAAUUGUGAAGCGGCAAUUCCUUGUCGGUAAAAAGACUUUCUGGCGUCCCCGGCGAUAA
rnacentral:rRNA from 1 species